rnacentral:pre_miRNA from 1 species
GUAGUACUUCCUCUGUCCGAAAAUACUUGUCAUUAAAAUGGAUAAAAAAAGAUGUAUCUAGAACUAAAAUACAUCUAGAUACAUUCCCUUUUAUUCAUUUUGAUAACAAGUAUUUCCGAACGGAGGGAGUAGUAU